rnacentral:rRNA from 1 species
CCUACGGGCGGCAGCAGUGGGGAAUAUUGGGCAAUGGGCGCAAGCCUGACCCAGCAACGCCGCGUGAAGGAAGAAGGCUUUCGGGUUGUAAACUUCUUUUAAGAGGGAAGAGCAGAAGACGGUACCUCUUGAAUAAGCCACGGCUAACUACUUGCCAGCAGCCGCGGUAAUACGUAGGUGGCAAGCGUUGUCCGGAUUUACUGGGUGUAAAGGGCGUGUAGCCGGGAAGGCAAGUCAGAUGUGAAAUCUGUAGGUUCAACCUCCAAAUUGCAUUUGAAACUGUUUUUCUUGAGUACUGGAGAGGCAGACGGAAUUCCUGGUGGAGCGGUGAAAUGCGUAGAUAUAAGGAGGAACACCAGUGGCGAAGGCGGUCUGCUGGACAGCAACUGACGGUGAGGCGCGAAAGCGUGGGGAGCAAACAGGAUUAGAUACCCGGGUAGUC